ensembl:piRNA 21ur-3896 ncRNA
UGCAAGCGAUUUUCAAACAAU